rnacentral:rRNA from 1 species
UACGGAGGGUGCGAGCGUUGUCCGGAAUCACUGGGCGUAAAGGGCGCGUAGGUGGCGUCGCAAGUCAACGGUGAAAGCUCGGCGCUCAACGCCGAGUCGGCCGUCGAGACUGCGAGGCUCGAGCACUGUAGGGGCAGAUGGAAUUCCGGGUGUAGCGGUGGAAUGCGUAGAGAUCCGGAAGAACACCGGUGGCGAAGGCGGUCUGCUGGGCAGUUGCUGACACUGAGACGCGAAAGCGUGGGGAGCGAACAGG